rnacentral:rRNA from 1 species
UUAGAUACCCUAUUAUUUUAAGUGUAAAAAUAAAUAUCAAAUUAUUAGUAGUUAUUUUCUAUAAAGUUAAAUUUUAUGGCGGUAUUUUAGUCUUUUUAGAGGAACCUGUUCUAUAAAUGAUAAUCCACGAUUAAUAAAACUUUUUUUAGAAAUUUAUAUAUCGUCGUUUAAAAUAUAUUUUUAAAUAAAAAUAUUUUAAAUUUUAAAUAAAAAAUUAAUUCAGAUCAAGAUGUAGUUUAUAAAAAAGUAGAAAUGGGUUACAAUAAAAAAAUUUUUGGAUUAAAAAUUAAAAAUUUUUAUGAAAUUGGAUUUAAAAGUAAUUUUAAAUAU